rnacentral:rRNA from 1 species
CACGUAGGGUGCGAGCGUUGUCCGGAAUUAUUGGGCGUAAAGAGCUCGUAGGCGGUGUGUCGCGUCGGCCGUGAAAACCUGCAGCUUAACUGUGGGCUUGCGGUCGAUACGGGCAUCACUGGAGUUCGGCAGGGGAGACUGGAAUUCCUGGUGUAGCGGUGAAAUGCGCAGAUAUCAGGAGGAACACCGGUGGCGAAGGCGGGGUCUCUGGGCCGAUACUGACGCUGAGGAGCGAAAGCAUGGGUAGCGAACAGG